CCCCCAGACUCCUACGGGAGGCAGCAGUGGGGGAUAUUGCACAAUGGGGGAAACCCUGAUGCAGCGACGCCGCGUGUGGGAAGACGGUCUUCUGGAUUGUAAACCACUGUCCCCAGGGACGAAAAUGACGGUACCUGACUAAGAAGCCCCGGCUAACUACGUGCCAGCAGCCGCGGUAAUACGUAGGGGGCAAGCGUUAUCCGGAUUUACUGGGUGUAAAGGGAGCGUAGACGGCAUGGCAAGUCAGAUGUGAAAGCCCGGGGCUCAACCCCGGGACUGCAUUUGAAACUGUCAGGCUGGAGUGCAGGAGAGGUAAGUGGAAUUCCUAGUGUAGCGGUGAAAUGCGUAGAUAUUAGGAGGAACACCAGUGGCGAAGGCGGCUUACUGGACUGUAACUGACGUUGAGGCUCGAAAGCGUGGGGAGCAAACAGGAUUAGAUACCCUAGUACGC
rnacentral:rRNA from 1 species